GUUUUAGAAAUAGCCAGUUCUUUUCUACAUUACAGAAUAACAUAAACCGACAUGAAGACCUCCUUAACAUUGUGCUGCUUCAACUUUCUUGUAUAUUAUUCCAUAAGUCAGUCUAUUGUUAGGAUUGACCAGUCUCCUACCAACAUAAUAAAGCAUCAGCAGGAGUCUCUGGAGAUAAAUUGUCAGCAAAGUAGUGAUGGUGCUAAUAUGUACUGGUAUCGACAGCAAGGCACAAGUGAACUUCAGCUUGUUGUACACUCACCAUUCAUGAGCUCCCCUGUUUAUGGAGACAAAAUAAAAAACAGAUUUAAUAUUACAAGAGAUGUUAUAGCAAGUAUCACUCUAAAAAUUGAAAAUGUUCAGACAUCAGACACAGGAUUUUAUUUAUGUGCAGCUAG